rnacentral:rRNA from 1 species
AGCGGCGGAUGGGUGAGUAACACGUGGGGAACCUGCCCCUAAGUCUGGGAUACCAUUUGGAAACAGGUGCUAAUACCGGAUAAUAAAGCAGAUCGCAUGAUCAGCUUUUGAAAGGCGGCGUAAGCUGUCGCUAAGGGAUGGCCCCGCGGUGCAUUAGCUAGUUGGUAAGGUAACGGCUUACCAAGGCGACGAUGCAUAGCCGAGUUGAGAGACUGAUCGGCCACAUUGGGACUGAGACACGGCCCAAACUCCUACGGGAGGCAGCAGUAGGGAAUCUUCCACAAUGGACGCAAGUCUGAUGGAGCAACGCCGCGUGAGUGAAGAAGGUUUUCGGAUCGUAAAGCUCUGUUGUUGGUGAAGAAGGAUAGAGGUAGUAACUGGCCUUUAUUUGACGGUAAUCAACCAGAAAGUCACGGCUAACUACGUGCCAGCAGCCGCGGUAAUACGUAGGUGGCAAGCGUCGUCCGGAUUUAUUGGGCGUAAAGCGAGCGCAGGCGGAAAAAUAAGUCUAAUGUGAAAGCCCUCGGCUUAACCGAGGAACUGCAUCGGAAACUGUUUUUCUUGAGUGCAGAAGAGGAGAGUGGAACUCCAUGUGUAGCGGUGGAAUGCGUAGAUAUAUGGAAGAACACCAGUGGCGAAGGCGGCUCUCUGGUCUGCAACUGACGCUGAGGCUCGAAAGCAUGGGUAGCGAACAGGAUUAGAUACCCUGGUAGUCCAUGCCGUAAACGAUGAGUGCUAAGUGU